CAGGACGGCUCAAGAACAAUCUAGAAAGUUCUUUCGGUGUCCGGAGGCACCUCACGUAGGUUCCCGAAGCGUGAGGGGCCAGCGGCGCUUCCCCGACGACACCAGGCGGGGAGGGGGGGGGUGGGAAGCAAGGGCGGCCCCGCCUCCGCCCGCGUAGGUGCCCCCCCCCCCCCGCGCCGGAUCUGUCGAGUCAUCCGUCCUGUCAACGCGCCCGCGCGGGGGAUAGGCGGCUGCCCCGGCGGGGGUGGGGGGGGGUGGGGGAGGGGCACGGGGGUUGUGGUGACACGCGAACACGCCGCGAUCCUCAACGUGGCCCCUCACGAAAACCCCUCUGUCCGCGGAGGGGGAGGGGCGCGUGAGGCCUGAGCCCCCUACGUCAGGGGCGGGUCUCGGCAGCGGCGGGGACCGUUGGGGCUGAGGAGACGGGGACGGGGGCGUCGGGGCCGAGCCCGCUCCGGGCGCCCGGGAGAAUCCACGCCGGGUUUUCGCACCUCCCGCGGCCCCGCCCCUCCCCGUAGGUCGAGCGCCGGCCACGUCCGCGGACGCCGCACUCAACACUCGCGCUGAUCCCUCCGCGAGGGCGCCGAGCACAGCGGCCCCCUCCUCCUCAGAUUCUCCCCUGCCGCCCGGUCUCCACGGGAAACCACUACGUGGGGGGGCCUUCGAUGAUCUGGGGUACUGCCUUUUCUGUCCGGGGCGGGGUAGGAAGAGCGGAGAAAAGUAGUCCGUUCUCGGCGUUUCUGCGGAGGGAUCCAGCGGAGCAGUUCCACCGAGUGCUAUAUAAGGAGGUGCCGGGUGUGGCGUAGGCAGUUCCGUGGAGGCCGGGAGUUCCGUUGCUGCUCUUCGGUGUGAGUCGUCGCCACAGCCGCUUGAAAUUCCAAGGAACAUGAAACGUGCCAACAGGAAGACAGCAAAAGUGCUGACCUUCCCCCAGAUUCUUCUUCAAUCAGAAACCGACCAUCACACCCCUCGCAUGCUGUGGGCCCUGGUGUGAGGACAGGCAUACUGGUGAAGGAGACAGACAGAAUCAGGCCGGACAAUAUCUGGGUGUCGCGGAAAUAAAACAGGACGACGUGA